rnacentral:rRNA from 1 species
CCUACGGGAGGCAGCAGUGAGGAAUAUUGGUCAAUGGGCGCGAGCCUGAACCAGCCAAGUCGCGUGAGGGAAGACGGUCCUAUGGAUUGUAAACCUCUUUUGUCGGGGAGCAAAAGACGCCACGCGUGGCGUUCCGAGAGUACCCGAAGAAAAAACAUCGGCUAACUCCGUGCCAGCCGCCGCGGUACUACGGAGGAUGCGAGCGUUAUCCGGAUUUAUUGGGUUUCAAGGGUGCUCAGGCGGAAGAUCAAGUCAGCGGUAAAAUUGAGAGGCUCAACCUCUUCGAGCCGUUGAAACUGGUUUUCUUGAGUGAGUGAGAAGUAUGCGGAAUGCGUGGGGUAGCGGUGAAAUGCAUAGAUAUCACGCAGAACUCCGAUUGCGAAGGCAGCAUACCGGCGCUCAACUGACGCUCAUGCACGAAAGUGUGGGUAUCGAACAGGAUUAGAUACCCUUGUAGUC